GACAGAGGUGGCAAGCGUUGCUCGGAGUUACUGGGCAUAAAGGGCGCGUAGGCGGUCACGCACGUCGGAGGUGAAAUCCCCGGGCUCAACCCGGGAACGGCCUUCGAUACGGCGCGGCUAGAGUGCGGGAGGGGAGAGUGGAACUCCUGGUGGAGCGGUGAAAUGCGUAGAUAUCAGGAGGAACGCCGGUGGCGAAAGCGACUCUCUGGUCCGCAACUGACGCUGAGGCGCGAAAGCUAGGGGAGCAAACGGG
rnacentral:rRNA from 1 species